rnacentral:rRNA from 1 species
GACAGAGGGUGCAAACGUUGUUCGGAAUUACUGGGCGUAAAGCGCGUGUAGGCGGCCCUGCAAGUCGGAUGUGAAAUCCCACGGCUCAACCGUGGAAGUGCAUUCGAAACUGCAGGGCUAGAGUCCUGGAGAGGAAGGUGGAAUGCUUGGUGUAGAGGUGAAAUUCGUAGAUAUCAAGCGGAGCACCUGUGGCGAAAGCGGCUCACUGGACCACUACUGACGCUGAUGCGCGAAAGCUAGGGGAGCAAACAGG